rnacentral:rRNA from 1 species
AUUGAACGCUGGCGGCAGGCCUAACCCAUGCAAGUCGAGCGAGCGGCGGACGGGUGAGUAAUGUCUGGGAAACUGCCUGAUGGAGGGGGAUAACUACUGGAAACGGUAGCUAAUACCGCAUAACAUCAGAUGUGCCCAGAUGGGAUUAGCUAGUAGGUGUGGUAACGGCUCACCUAGGCGACGAUCCCUAGCUGGUCUGAGAGGAUGACCAGCCACACUGGAACUGAGACACGGUCCAUACUCCGACGGGCGGCAGCAGUGGGGAAUAUUGCACAAGGGGCGCAAGUCUGAUGCAGCCAGUCCGCGUGUGUGAAGAAGGCCUGCGGGUUGUAAAGCACUUUCAGCGGGGAGGCGUUACCCGCAGAAGAAGCACCGGCUAACUCCGUGCCAGCAGCCGCGGUAAUUC